GUAAUUUUGAAUCCCUGAUUCCUUGAUUUACUAUGUACUAAUUGACCUAAUGUGUUUCUUACCUUAUUUGGCUAACCAUGUAUUUCAAAGAUUCUUUAUUAAUGUUUUCCUUAGCUAAACCCCUAUGUAUUUACCCCUAAUUUCCUACUUUACACAAGAUGUUUACUUGAUUUUUUUCCUUAACUGAUUGUCGUCCAUUACCGUUUGAGUUUAAACUCCUUAAUUAAAGGAAGUUCUUAUGUUAUUGAUUGUAAUUGAUACAUAGUUCUACAAUUACUAUGAUUCUUCCCUUACUUUCAACCUAUUUUCAAAAUAUAAAUAUCCGAUCCUCUUUUUCACAAAACACAACUCAAUACACUUCUGACUUCACACUUACAAUUCUCACCACCUCUACUGAACUUUCUUGUCUGCACUUUGGCUUUCACAAGACUACUACUUUCUUUUGCUUGUCUCUUUUAGAACUGGUAUGUCUUAAUUCAAUUCCCAGUAUCAUCCCAAUGUAACGCUUAUAGUGUUUAUAUCUAUGUUUACUUCCUGCAGAGUUGACAUGAUCAUAUGCUACUGCUUGCUUUACUUUCUUGUAAACACUUUCUGCAUAUCCCAUUACCCUCUAUAUGUUUAUAAGUGGGGAUUCAGGGCAUGGCAAUAUGAAUUAUUGUCCAUGAACUAAAUUUUGACCCCAAGUAAGAUGAAGGAUGUGUAGUAUGUUCCAUUGCUGAGCAUGGCCUUUGCCUACUCUUUCCUUGUAUUCUGCUUAUAUUAUGAACCCUGUAUCCCGACUCCCCUAUGUAUGAUGAGUUAAAGUUUAUGGUCUGGCAGCCUUCAAAUGGCUGUCCAGGUCUAAACCUAACCUUCAACAGGUCUUAACUCCUCAAUUUAAAAAAUGACAAGCUCGUCAGGGGUGUGCCAGC
rnacentral:lncRNA from 1 species